rnacentral:rRNA from 1 species
UACGUAGGGUGCAAGCGUUGUCCGGAAUCAUUGGGCGUAAAGAGCGUGUAGGCGGCCUCGUAAGUCCGCUGUGAAAGUCCAGGGCUCAACCCUGGGAUGCCGGUGGAUACUGCGAGGCUAGAGUCCGGAAGGGGCGAGUGGAAUUCCUGGUGUAGCGGUGAAAUGCGCAGAUAUCAGGAGGAACACCAAUGGCGAAGGCAGCUCGCUGGGACGGUACUGACGCUGAGACGCGAAAGCGUGGGGAGCGAACAGG